rnacentral:rRNA from 1 species
GUGAACAGCAAUUGGACAUGGGUGAGUCGAUCCUAAGAGAUAGGAAAAUUCUUUUUGAAAGUGGUCAUUCCUCGGAUUGGCCCGGAUAUCGAAAGGGAAUCGGGUUAAUAUUCCCGAACCAGAACGUGGAUACUGAGUGGUAACACAAACAAAACUGGAGACGUUGGCGAGAGCCCCGGGAAGAGUUCUCUUUUCUUUUUAACAGUACGUUCGACCUUGGAAUCGGAUUGCCCGGCGAUAAGGUUGUACGGCUGGCAAAGCAGCGUACUUUUUGCGUUGUCCGGUGCGCUUUCGACGACCCGUGAAAAUCCAGUGGCGUGAUUUAUUCGCACGUCUGGUCGUACUCACAACCGCCUCAGGUCUCCAAGGUGUGCAGCCUCUAGUCGAUAGAAUAAUGUAGAUAAGGGAAGUCGGCAAAAUAGAUC